rnacentral:rRNA from 1 species
GAGUUUGAUCAUGGCUCAGGAUGAACGCUGGCGGCGUGCCUAAUACAUGCAAGUCGAACGAACUUCCGUUAAUUGAUUAUGACGUACUUGUACUGAUUGAGAUUUUAACACGAAGUGAGUGGCGAACGGGUGAGUAACACGUGGGUAACCUGCCCAGAAGUAGGGGAUAACACCUGGAAACAGAUGCUAAUACCGUAUAACAGAGAAAACCGCAUGGUUUUCUUUUAAAAGAUGGCUCUGCUAUCACUUCUGGAUGGACCCGCGGCGUAUUAGCUAGUUGGUGAGGUAAAGGCUCACCAAGGCAGUGAUACGUAGCCGACCUGAGAGGGUAAUCGGCCACAUUGGGACUGAGACACGGCCCAGACUCCUACGGGAGGCAGCAGUAGGGAAUCUUCCACAAUGGACGCAAGUCUGAUGGAGCAACGCCGCGUGAGUGAAGAAGGGUUUCGGCUCGUAAAGCUCUGUUGUUAAAGAAGAACGUGGGUAAGAGUAACUGUUUACCCAGUGACGGUAUUUAACCAGAAAGCCACGGCUAACUACGUGCCAGCAGCCGCGGUAAUACGUAGGUGGCAAGCGUUAUCCGGAUUUAUUGGGCGUAAAGCGAGCGCAGGCGGUCUUUUAAGUCUAAUGUGAAAGCCUUCGGCUCAACCGAAGAAGUGCAUUGGAAACUGGGAGACUUGAGUGCAGAAGAGGACAGUGGAACUCCAUGUGUAGCGGUGAAAUGCGUAAAUAUAUGGAAGAACACCAGUGGCGAAGGCGGCUGUCUGGUCUGCAACUGACGCUGAGGCUC